rnacentral:rRNA from 1 species
UAAAUUUGACACUGGAAAGACUAAUAUAAAUAAAAUAUUUUUUACCUUUUGCAUAAUGGUCUAAUUAUAAUUUUGAAAAAUUUUAUGUCCCGAAAAUUAUGGAGCUAUAAUUGGUGGAAAAGUUGUCUGUAGCAAAAUAUGGAAUACAUUCGAUUAUAGGGACGAAAGGUUUAUCAAUUUAAUUGAUAUCUGGUAAUUCUUUAAAUGUAUUUAGUAUAGGAUAAUUCUGAAUAAUUGAGUGUUAAGAUUUAAUUAUAUAAAUAGGAGGAAAUAUUAUAUACUAUAUACGAUUGAAUAUUGCUAUUAGUUGAUAUAAAAAAAAUUAUUAAUUUGUACCCCGUUUUAAUCAAAGAAUUAUUAUAUAUAAUUGGGUAUAUAAUUAACUAUGUUAGAAUAAGUAGAAAAAGAAAAAUAUUGAUAAGGAACUCGGCAAAAAUUUAUUUUAACGACUGUUUAUCAAAAACAUAGCCUUAUGGAUGUAUAUAUAAGGUGUACUCUGCCCAAUGAUAGUUAUUUUAUUAAAUGGCCGCAGUACUUUGACUGUGCUAAGGUAGCAUAAUAAAUUGACUUUUAAUUGAGGUCUGGAAUGAAAGGAUUGACGUUAAACUUCUGUCUCAUUUGUAUUUUUUCUAAGUUACCAAAAAAGUGAAAAUGCUUUUAUUUUUAAAUAUUAGACGAGAAGACCCUAGGAGUUUAAAAAUAUUUUGUUGGGGCGACACUAUAACAUUAAAAACUUAUAGUAAUAAAUUUUAAUUUUAACGAUAUAUAAUAAUCUAAACUAAGCUACCCUAGGGAUAACAGCUUAAUUUUUCAAACAAAAAAGAUUGUGACCUCGAUGUUGGACUAGGAAUUUUGCGAUGUUAGCGAUGUCAAAAAUAAGUUCUGUGCGAA